rnacentral:tRNA from 1 species
AGCUUAGUAGAUAAAGCGCUUGUCUUGUAUGCAAGAGUCCUGGGUUCGAAUCCCAG